AAAAAAAGUCAUAAAAAAAUAAAAAGCUCAGAACCAGAGACACUCUUAGGUAAUUUUUAGUAUAUAAGUCCUUGCAUAAACUAGGUGUUCAAUACUGUCAAAGCAAUUUAAGAAUAUAAGAAACAAUACCAGGUCCUAGAAAGAGCAAGUAUGAACGAAAAAGUAUCUGAUAAAGCUCUCAAUGAAUUUAGAAGCUUAUUUUGCCAAGGUGAAUGAUGUGCUUGGGAAACAAGUCUGUGCCUUUCUCCAAAGAUGACUUUCAGGGCUUCAACAUUUAAAGGAGAAAAGUGGGAUAGAGAGGAAAGAGGGAGAGUAUGGUAAUCCACAUAUUGCAAGAGAAAAGGAGCAAGCAAGGGAAUAGUCAAUUAUGUAUUGGUGUCACACUCAGUAAAUUGACACGUUACAUAAGAUAAGAUGAACAUAAAGUAGCUACCUGUGGAAAUAUUUAACCUUUUAUCUGUAGUUAUCUACUUAGGAACAAAAGGAAAGGUAGUUGCUUGCAUGACUCAGCUUUCAGCUUAAUAUUUUUCCUUUGGCAUAGUAAAUUUAUUUUCUUUUCACAAUUCUCACCGCCACUUUUUAAAAAGCCAGUCAAAUUUAGCAGUGGGGGGGUCAUAUACCAACUUUAGUGACACUAGUGUUAAUAAGUUCUGAUAACCCACUACCAUUGGACCAAACCUCCCUAUUUUUUCUUUUAAACUCUUUCAGAAAAUGCAUUUUAGAAGAAAAUGAGUCUCUGAUCUCAGGAUUUGUCUGAUCUCUCACGAUUGGGAUGGCCCAUUCCUAGAGGGGGAGAAGACCUGGAAAACACUGCUAGACCAACUCAAAAUUACAAAGUUUUCCAGAGCUUAUAUGUCUUCUAAGCCAUAUGUCUAUGUCUGCAGGAAUGUAGACAAUUCAGAGGCUUUGUUCCCCAUAAUUUGGAACUUUUCUUCAGAUUUGACCAAGUCGGGUAGAGAUGAUCAAACCUAAUGGGAAAAAGACUGAAACAACAAAAACAGAAACAGGCAAACACAACCAGGCAAACUCAACCAAUUGUCAACCAGAAGAUGUUUAAAUUCACCUAUAGCCUGGAAGCACACCCCACCCUAUCCCGUUUUUGAGUUGUCCCGCCUUUCUGGACCAAACCAAUGUAUUUCCUAAAUGUAUUUGAUUGAUGUCUCAUGCUUCUCUAAAAUGUAUACAACCAAGCCGUGCCCUGACCACCUGGGGCACAUGUUCUCAGGACCUCCUGAGGGCUGUGUCACAGGCCACGGUCACUCGGCUCAGAAUAAAUCUCUUCAAUUAUGUAAGAGUUCAACUCUUUUUGUCGACAUAUGGUAUGGAUUUGUGUGUAUACUUCUUCCCCAG
rnacentral:lncRNA from 1 species